rnacentral:lncRNA from 1 species
AGAAGAAAGACAAAGUGUGAAGACAAGAUCUUCCCCCUCGGAGAAGGAGCUGUCAGUUUUGCAAGUUUAAGGAGAUACUUGGAGUAGAGGGUCAGCGGGAGUCUGUGACGGGCCGAGAAGAGGGGUUCGCUUCUGUUCCCUAAGUCACAGUGUCACAGUGCGAGGUGCCGGUGCCUGAUGAGCUGCUGCAAAUACAGCAAAUAACAAAUGGGAAAGGGGAACCUUCCAGAGAAAACCUAUCACCUUGAGACAUAUACAAUUAACUCCUAGAAAAGCCUGGAAAAGUGAGGCGCAGGAAGGAUUAAAAAAACAGGUCAGAAGCCUUUGCCAAGGCCUGGUUCUGGAACAACAAAAUAAUAGAGGAUCUGAAAGAGCCCCAAAAGAGAUCCCUGGAGAAAACCAUCACUGAUGCUGGAAGAUGGCAGCAGUUCACAGGUGAAUACUCAGAAAUUGAAAAUUAGCGGAUUUUUCUCCACAUUCCCAUAGAAGAUGCAAAUCUGAUGAUAAUAGCAACAUUGUAUUAUUG